AUGGUUUGUCACCACGUCCCCGUUAAAUUUGAAGGAUUGGAAUUCCAUGUUUCCCCCAUUGUUUUGAAGUCUUCCAACAUUGACCUCAUUCUAAAAAUGGAAUGGUUCAAAACACAUACCGCUUCUAUCAUCCGCGUCACUAAAACCGUCCAACUACUGCAUCCUUCUAAAAAGAUAGUAAGCUACCAUGUUCAUUUGGUUCGAAAUAUCAAAGCACACAUUUAUUCCUUGAAUGCAUUAAACGUUUCUCCUCUUGUGAGAAUUGAAAACGCUCCAGUCGUUUGUGAAUUGCAAGAGGUAUUUUUAGAAGAACUACACAGUCCAUGA
rnacentral:rRNA from 1 species